ensembl:snRNA U6 U6 spliceosomal RNA
GUGCUCAUUUAGGCAGCACAUACAGUAAAAUUGGAAGGAUGCAGUGAAGAUUACUAGGGCCCCUGCUCAAGGAUGACAUGCAAAUUCAUAAGAUGUUCCAUAUUCUU